GGCGCGGUGGCGGAACUGGCAGACGCGCACGACUCAAAAUCGUGUGGUUUUAUUACCAUGUGGGUUCGAUUCCCUCCCGCGCCA
rnacentral:tRNA from 1 species